rnacentral:rRNA from 1 species
UACGUAGGGUGCAAGCGUUAAUCGGAAUUACUGAGCGUAAAGCGUGCGCAGGCGGUGAUGUAAGACAGGUGUGAAAUCCCCGGGCUUAACCUGGGAACUGCAUUUGUGACUGCAUCGCUGGAGUGCGGCAGAGGGGGAUGGAAUUCCGCGUGUAGCAGGUGAAAUGCGUAGAGAUCCGGAGGAACACCAAAGGCGAAGGCAGUGUCCUGGGGAGUACCUGACGCUCGAGGUGCGAAAGCCAGGGGAGCGAACGGG